UAAGUGGAACAGAGCAAAUAUGUAAUACAUAUAUCAAAUUAAAACAACUACAUUCCUGAUCCCUCAUGAUCUUGCUUAUCCCUAGAUAUAAUCUCCGGUAUAUCUUUAUCGUUGUGGUGAAUGAUUAAAUAAUAAAGAAGAACCGCCAUUACAACUAAAAACAAGACACCAGCAAGAAUUUGUAAAAACAAGCUCAAGGCACAUUUGCAGCAACUAAAAAUACGGAAAGGAAAACAAAUAAUAAUUAAACAAGAAAUCGGGAAUUUCCAAAAUGAAGUUAAUCGAUCAUUUCUCACAACACACUUGUUUGAACAAAUCUUCUUUAAAAACCUAAAAAAUUCCAAAUUACAUUUGAUUAUGUAAAUUAUCAAGAAGGCUGGCGUAAAAUUUAUUUAACAGCAUUAAAAUUCCAUAAUUUGACUGCAAGAUGUUAUAUUUUCCUUCAAAAUAUCACUUUAG